rnacentral:tRNA from 1 species
GUGGCUGUGGCCUAGCGGUUAAGGCACCAGAUUGUGGAUCUGGAAAUCGCGGGUUCGAAUCCCGUCAGCCACCC